AUGUAAAAAUGUUCUGUAAAAGGGUUGGAUCCGACGCCCCUAGAAGGCUACUAUAGGCUCUCCUUCCCAACUCCUACU
rnacentral:ribozyme from 1 species